rnacentral:rRNA from 1 species
ACACUGGAACUGAGACACGGUCCAGACUCCUACGGGAGGCAGCCGUGGGGAAUAUUGCGCAAUGGGCGGAAGCCUGACGCAGCGACGCCGCGUGAGCGAUGAAGGCCUUCGGGUCGUAACGCUCUGUUGGCAGUGAACGCACAAGUCCAUGGUUAAUAUCCAUGGACCCUGACGGUACUCUUCCAGAAAGCACCGGCUAACUCCGUGCCAGCAGCCGCGGUAAUACGGCGGGUGCUAGCGUUGUUCGGAAUCAUUGGGCGUAACGCGCGGGUAAGCGGAGCGGCGUGUCGGAUGUGAAAGCCCUCGGCUCAACCCGAGGAAUGGCAUCCGAAACUGUCGCUCUUGAGUACGGGAGAGGGAAGCGGAAUUUCCAGUGUAGAGGUGAAAUUCGUAGAUAUUGGAAGGAACACCGGUGGCGAAGGCGGCUUCCUGGACCGAUACUGACGCUGAGACGCGAAAGCGUGGGUAGCAAACAGGAUUAGAUACCCUGGUAGUCCACGCAGUAAACGAUGAGCACUAGGUGUUGCGGGUAUCGACCCCUGCAGUGCCGAAGCCAACGCAUUAAGUGCUCCGCCUGGGGACUACGGUCGCAAGACUAAAACUCAAAGGAAUUGACGGGGGCCCGCACAAGCGGUGGAGCAUGUGGUUCAAUUCGACGCAACGCGCAGAACCUUACCCGGGCUUGACAUCCUGGGAAUCCCCGAGGAAACCGGGGAGUGCCUGCUUUGCAGGAGCCCAGUGACAGGUGCUGCAUGGCUGUUGUCAGCUCGUGUCGUGAGAUGUUGGGUUAAGUCCCGCAACGAGCGCAACCCUCGUCCUUAGUUGCCAGCAUUCAGUUGGGCACUCUAAGGAGACUGCCGGUGUUAAACCGGAGGAAGGCGAGGACGACGUCAAGUCCUCAUGGCCCUUAUGCCCGGGGCUACACACGUGCUACAAUGGCCGGUACAAUGGGCUGCGAACCUGUGAAGGGAAGCUAAUCCCAAAAAGCUGGUCUCAGUUCGGAUUGGAGUCUGCAACUCGACUCCAUGAAGGAGGAAUCGCUAGUAAUCGCGCAUCAGCAUGGCGCGGUGAAUACGUUCCCGGGCCUUGUACACACCGCCCGUCACACCACGAAAGCUAUUUGGACCAGAAGUCGGCGUUCCAACCCUUCGGGGAGGUAGUCGC